CGCGUAGGCGGCUUCGAUAGUCGGGUGUGAAAUGCCUGGGCUCAACCCAGGAACUGCACUCGAAACUCCGAGGCUAGAGUGUGGGAGAGGAUAGUGGAAUUCCCAGUGUAGAGGUGAAAUUCGUAGAUAUUGGGAAGAACACCGGUGGCGAAGGCGGCUAUCUGGACCACAACUGACGCUGAGGCGCGAAAGCGUGGGGAGCAAACAGGAUUAGAUACCCUGGUAGUCCACGCUGUAAACUAUGUGUGCUUGACGUCAGAGGGCAUAGCCCCCUGGUGUCGGAGCUAACGCGGUAAGCACACCGCCUGGGGAGUACGGUCGCAAGAUUAAA
rnacentral:rRNA from 1 species